rnacentral:rRNA from 1 species
GACGAACCGUGCGAACGUUGUUCGGAAUCACUGGGCUUAAAGGGCGCGUAGGCGGGAUGGUAAGUCUGUGGUGAAAUCUGUCGGCUUAACCGGCAAACGGCCGUGGAUACUGCCAUUCUCGAGGGGUGUAGGGGCAUGCGGAACUCAGGGUGGAGCGGUGAAAUGCGUAGAUAUCCUGAGGAACGCCGGUGGCGAAAGCGGCGUGCUGGACACCUUCUGACGCUGAGGCGCGAAAGCCAGGGGAGCGAACGGG